GACGAACGCUGGCGGCGUGCCUAAUACAUGCAAGUCGAACGCUUCUUUCCUCCCGAGUGCUUGCACUCCAUUGGAAAGAGGAGUGGCGGACGGGUGAGUAACACGUGGGUAACCUACCCAUCAGAGGGGGAUAACACUUGGAAACAGGUGCUAAUACCGCAUAACAGUUUAUGCCGCAUGGCAUAAGAGUGAAAGGCGCUUUCGGGUGUCGUUGAUGGAUGGACCCGCGGUGCAUUAGCUAGUUGGUGAGGUAACGGCUCACCAAGGCCACGAUGCAUAGCCGACCUGAGAGGGUGAUCGGCCACACUGGGACUGAGACACGGCCCAGACUCCUACGGGAGGCAGCAGUAGGGAAUCUUCGGCAAUGGACGAAAGUCUGACCGAGCAACGCCGCGUGAGUGAAGAAGGUUUUCGGAUCGUAAAACUCUGUUGUUAGGGAAGAACAAGGACGUUAGUAACUGAACGUCCCCUGACGGUAUCUAACCAGAAAGCCACGGCUAACUACGUG
rnacentral:rRNA from 1 species